rnacentral:lncRNA from 1 species
AAACCCGGAGGGCCGAAGCAACUUCAGCAACAUCACUAGUGAGAACUCCAAGGAGGCUUAUAUGGACCUUAUUGCAUUUGAGAAAAUCAAUAACGGAGCUCCAGUUGGAGGGUUUUUGACGGCACAUCUUUCUAGGGCAGUUCAACCAGAGCACCUGGAGUGGAUACAAGUGGCAGUUUUUGUUUCUUAUGAAAUUGUUUCUGGAAUGAAAACCAUGGAAUUAGAGUAGAACAUUUCUCACGACCUGCAAUGGCUUUGGGCAGCACCAGGAGCUCCUGAAAGGAUUAUCUGAGAGUAUAGAAAAGUUUGGCAACAGAAGGAACUAUGAGAAGCAACUGAUCAGAAAUACCACUAGAGAAAUCUUUUGAAUUCUUCAGACAAUUGAUUCUUGGUGCAAAUUAAGUAAAAUCUAUACUGAAGAGAAAUAUGAAAAGUAUGUUGACAUCCUAAUGUAAACAGGAAAAAAAGUGAAAUGGU